UUGCUUCAGCAGCACAUAUACUAAAAUUAGGAAGAUACAGGAAAGGUGAGCAUGGUUCCUAUGCAAAGAUGACACAAAAGCUUGUGAAGGGUUCCACACUUUU
rnacentral:snRNA from 1 species